rnacentral:RNase_P_RNA from 1 species
GGAGUGGGCUGCGCGGCCGCGCGCAGCAAUAGUCUGCGGGAGGAAAGUCCGGGCUCCACAGGGCAGGGUGGUGGAUAACGUCCACCAGGGGUGACCCUCGGGAAAGUGCCACAGAAAACAAACCGCCCCGCUGAGUCGGGGUAAGGGUGAAACGGUGUGGUAAGAGCGCACCAGCAGUCCGGGCGACCGGGCUGGCUCGGUAAACCCCACCCGGAGCAAGGCCAAAUAAGGGGAUGCUUGAGGGCGGCCCGUCCGAGAUCCCCGGGUAGGCCGCUUGAGGCGGUGGGCAACCAUCGUCCCAGAUAGAUGGCCGCGGGCCCGCCAUCGGCGGGUGACAGAACCCGGCUUACAGGCCCGCUCCGGUC